rnacentral:rRNA from 1 species
GACGAACGCUGGCGGCGUGCUUAACACAUGCGAGUCGAACGCUGAAGCUUGGUGCUUGCACUGGGUGGAUGAGUGGCGAACGGGUGGGUAAUACGUGAGUAACCUGCCCUUGACUCUGGGAUAAGCCUGGGAAACUGGGUCUAAUACUGGAUACGACAUGUCACCGCAUGGUGGUGUGUGGAAAGGGUUUUACUGGUUUUGGAUGGGCUCACGGCCUAUCAGCUUGUUGGUGGGGUAAUGGCUCACCAAGGCGACGACGGGUAGCCGGCCUGAGAGGGUGACCGGCCACACUGGGACUGAGACACGGCCCAGACUCCUACGGGAGGCAGCAGUGGGGAAUAUUGCACAAUGGGCGGAAGCCUGAUGCAGCGACGCCGCGUGAGGGAUGACGGCCUUCGGGUUGUAAACCUCUUUCAGCACGGAAGAAGCGAAAGUGACGGUACGUGCAGAAGAAGCGCCGGCUAACUACGUG